CAAUAGCGUAUAUUUAAGUUGUUGCAGUUAAAAAGCUCGUAGUUGGAUUUCGGGUAGGAUUUGCCGGUCCGUCUUUGAGAUGUGUACUGGUAAGUCCUAUCUUCUUGUCGGGGACCAGCUCCUGGGCUUCACUGUCCGGGACUGGGAGCCGACGAAGUUACUUUGAGUAAAUUAGAGUGUUCAAAGCAAGCCUACGCUCUGAAUAUAUUAGCAUGGAAUAACACGAUAGGACUCUGGCUUAUCUUGUUGGUCUGUGAGACCAGAGUAAUGAUUAAGAGGGACAGUCGGGGACAUUCGUAUUUCAUUGUCAGAGGUGAAAUUCUUGGAUUUACGAAAGACGAACUUCUGCGAAAGCAUUUGUCAAGGAUGUUCUCAUUAA
rnacentral:rRNA from 1 species